rnacentral:rRNA from 2 species
GGUUAAGCGACUAAGCGUACACGGUGGAUGCCCUGGCAGUCAGAGGCGAUGAAGGACGUGCUAAUCUGCGAAAAGCGUCGGUAAGGUGAUAUGAACCGUUACAGCCGGCGAUGUCCGAAUGGGGAAACCCAGUGCAAUUCGUUGCACUAUCGUUAACUGAAUACAUAGGUUAACGAGGCGAACCGGGGGAACUGAAACAUCUAAGUACCCCGAGGAAAAGAAAUCAACCGAGAUUCCCCCAGUAGCGGCGAGCGAACGGGGAGCAGCCCAGAGUCUGAAUCAGCUUGUGUGUUAGUGGAACGGUCUGGAAAGUCCGACGGUACAGGGUGAUAGUCCCGUACACCAAAAUGCACAGGCUGUGAACUCGAAGAGUAGGGCGGGACACGUGGUAUCCUGUCUGAAUAUGGGGGGACCAUCCUCCAAGGCUAAAUACUCCUGACUGACCGAUAGUGAACCAGUACCGUGAGGGAAAGGCGAAAAGAAC